UGUAGAGUUUGCAAAUGAAUAUAUCAAAGAGACUCCCUCCUGUACUUAUGAAGGUAUUGAGUUGAGGUUUCACUGUUCCUCAAGUCUUUCUUCCCCCUGCCCAUGCUCCUGUUUCUUAUAUAUGACAUUAAGGAAGAAUCAUGGCAACACAUCUAAAACCUUCAAGUCUGGCCAUGGGAACACAGGAAGUAGAUAGUGUAGUACAGAUAUCAAAUGUGAAUAGAGAAAAGAAUUGUAUACUCCAUGUGGUCCUUUGCUUUAUUGAUGUUGGUAAUUUUUGAAUAACAUAAGGAUUUGGGAAUUUAUAAUUGAAGUAGGUACACCAUAAUUACACUGUUAUUCUCAGUCUAUAGAUGGGCCCACUUUGUUUCCAAAAUCAUAGCAGAGAAUGGAAUUUGAAAACAGAAUUUUUGAGUACAUAUUCAGGAAUAUUUAUAAUGUCCCCUAUGAAGGAAUGUACAAUAGGAAAGUGAAAUACAAUGUUCAUUCAACGAAAGGUGUGUAGGUAAAGUACUGGCCUUUAUAAAAUUAAGAAAACCUAGAAAAUUGAACUGUAUGUCACAGGAAUUGACCUGGGAAUAAAAAUAUUAUCCAGAAGAAUCUCCUCCACUCCAAGUUCCUAAAUAAUUUCUAUCCAUGCCAUGCCCCUGACUCAUUUUCUCCAUUCAGAAGUCACUAGCUUUAGAGAGAUGGAGAACGAAAGUUUCCACUGUGUCACAGGAGACAUACCUAAAUUGGCACCCUCAAAACUGGUUAAUGUAAGGAAAGCUGUUUAGAGUCAGGCCAUGGCAGUUCUCAGUGACAAUAUCAUUAGGCUCUCCCUGAAAAAUCUCUUGUAUCCUUGAGAGCACUAGCUUCUUCUGUGAUGUAAUAAGUGUUGUCCUGACUGCAAAUGCCUCUCAGAUAUUACUUCAGUACCUAUAGGUUUUACUAAUUGGCCUCAAAUUCAGGGGAAACAGUCAUUAGGGAGGGAGAACAAAGACGAUGAAGAAAUCAGAGAUGGGGAGAACGAAGCUGGUCUUCUGUCUUGGUAUAAAAGAAGGAAGAAAUACAUCAUCCCUGAGAAAUCUCACUGAAGCCUUGGUAGGAGUGGAAUAUGAAAAAUAGUCCUGAGGAAGGAGGGACAACAAGUAUUGUAUCGUCAUGUCAUCUCAAGAAAAACUCUCAAAACUCAUCCUGGCUGACAAUGUAGAUUAGACGCAUCAGAUGAAAUGAAUUGAAAAACUCUCCUGGGAAUGAAAGUGAUAACUGAAUGAUUAUUGUAAAGCAAAUCCCGGAAUGAACUUAUGAGACCCACCAUCAGCCUGUCAAAUAAUGUGCGAAAGAAGAAAUCUGUGUCUCUCCAGGGACAAAUUGUUGCUUUCAAACCAACAGUAAAGUGUCCAUUCUA